AGUCGAGCGGAAAGUAAUAGCAAUAUUGCUUUGAGCGGCGAACGGGUGAGUAAUGCUUAUCUUACCUGCCAUUUAGUGGGGGAUAAAAUACCGCAUAUUAUGAGUAAUCAUGAAAGGACUUUUGGGUUCGCUAAAUGAUGGGGAUAAGUCGUAUUAGCUAGUUGGUAGGGUAAUGGCCUACCAAGGCGAUGAUGCGUAGCCAGUCUGAGAGGAUGAAUGGCCACAAAGGAACUGAGACACGGUCCUUACUCCUAUUUAGGAGGCAGCAGUGAGGAAUUUUCGGCAAUGGGGGCAACCCUGACCGAGCAAUACUACGUGAAGGAGGAAGGUCUAUGGAUUGUAAACUUCUUUACUUAGGUGUACUAACCGUAAGGUUUUGCACUUAAGCAAAAAGCGACGACUAACUAUGUGCCAGCAGUCGCGGUAAGACAUAGGUCGCGAACGUUAUCCGGAAUUAUUGGGCGUAAAGGAUGCGUAGAUGGUUCGGUAAGUUACUGGUGGGAAAUCGGGGCCCAACCUCGUGGAAGCCAGUAAUACUAUCGAGCUUGAGUGCAGGAGAGGUUAACGGAACUUUAUGUGGAGCGGUAAAAUGCGUAGAUAUAUAAAAGAACAUCAAUUGGCGAAGGCAGUUAACUAUUCUGUUACUGACAUUGAGGCAUGAAAGCGUGGGGAGCAAAACGGAUUAGAUACCCGUGUAGUCCACGCCCUAAACGAUGAGUGCUAGAUAUUGGAAACUUGAUUUUCAGUGUCGCUAGGUAACCCGGUAAGCACUCCGCCUGGGGAGUACGCUCGCAAGAGUGAAACUUAA
rnacentral:rRNA from 1 species